rnacentral:rRNA from 1 species
UACGUAGGGUCCAAGCGUUGUUCGGAUUUACUGGGCGUAAAGGGCGCGUAGGCGGCCUAGCAAGUCACUUGUGAAAUCUCCGGGCUUAACUCGGAACUGCCAAGUGAAACUGCUGGGCUAGAGUGCAGAAGGGGCAAUCGGAAUUCUUGGUGUAGCGGUGAAAUGCGUAGAUAUCAAGAGGAACACCUGAGGUGAAGACGGGUUGCUGGGCUGACACUGACGCUGAGGCGCGAAAGCCAGGGGAGCAAACGGG